AUGGAACCUCAAUCCUCCUGCCUAGUUCAGUUCAACUGCCAAGACCUAAAGGAACCUCUCCUGCUCUUUCCUAUUAUGGGUGUGCUGCCUCUGGUGAUUUUUUUGGGCCUAGACUCUUUCUCUACGUCCCCUGAAAUCUCAGCUGAGAGUCCCUAUCAGAUGCUGGACGUCACCAGAGUGGAUGUUUAUGAAAAGAUCACUCCCUGGAAGAACCCUAAAGUCUAAGGCAGAGGGAGAAGUGACUGUCGUGAUAUUCCUUCUGAUUUACUUCAUUAAGGGGGAUUGAGAGCUAUCUUUUGGGAGAGAAAGUUGAGAGAUCUAGGUCAGAAGGAAAACCAAUCAGGAGAGAGGUGUGAUGGAAUUGGUAGGUAUCCUAAUGAUGCCAAGGGCAGAAAGAAAGGAGCCAUAAGUAUAUGACUAUGUAUAGCAGCAGUGUUUAUUUUAGCUAGAAGUUAGAAACAAACUGGACAUUCCUCCAUUGGGACAUGUCUUAAUAAACUGUGAUGUAUGAAUAUCA
rnacentral:lncRNA from 1 species